GACGAACGCUGGCGGCGUGCUUAACACAUGCAAGUCGAACGGAAAGGCCCUGCUUUUGUGGUGUACUCGAGUGGCGAACGGGUGAGUAACACGUGAGUAACCUGCCCUUUACUUUGGGAUAACUUCAGGAAACUGGGGCUAAUACCGGAUAGGAUCUCCUGCUGCAUGGUGGGGUUUGGAAAGUUUCGGCGGUUGGGGAUGGACUCGCGGCUUAUCCUCUUGUUGGUGGGGUAGUGGCUUACCAAGGCUUUGACGGGUAGCCGGCCUGAGAGGGUGACCGGCCACAUUGGGACUGAGACACGGCCCAGACUCCUACGGGAGGCAGCAGUGGGGAAUAUUGCACAAUGGGCGGAAGCCUGAUGCAGCAACGCCGCGUGAGGGAUGACGGCCUUCGGGUUGUAAACCGCUUUCGCCUGUGACGAAGCGUGAGUGACGGUAAUGGGUAAAGAAGCACCGGCUAACUACGUG
rnacentral:rRNA from 1 species